CAUGAGGAAGGAGCUGGGGAUCAGCAAGUUGACCACAUAGAGAAUUGGCUGGCGCUUUAUGACCACCUAGUGAAGAGUCAGUUUGAAGAAUCUCAACAGAUUUACUGUACAGGACAUCAAUAACCUUCUUCUAACAAAAUGUUCAUGAAGGUGAUGAUGUCCCACUCGUCAAUCCCAAACUGGAGGAUGGAGGUCUCCCCCAGUAUGUCCACCAGCUCCCACUCUCCACUGGCUUCCAGCACCUACACGUCCAAAUGGGAGUUAGAAUCUGAAUGAAGGUGUUAUUGGAGCAAAACAACUGAGCACCUGUGACAGUGGAAUUGUAGGGUUGUAGAAAAUAGUAGCCUUGACGAUAUGGCAGCUACAGAAGUUUGGAAAAUGGCGACAUACAUGACGUAACAAUAGCUAACCUGGCUAAUUGUAAACAAUGGCUGGCCUUUUUCCGACAUGUAACCUUAUUUGAAGAUGAGUAGUACUGUUUUUUAAAUAAAAUUUGUGCCCAAUAAGUUUGAUAACCUUAUAACCUAACCAAAAGAAAGAGACACAUUCCCUGAUUUUCUGAAAAAUCUAAGCUAGAAAUAAUGAAUAAAUACCUCAUAGUAACAAGGACUGAAACAAUAUUUAUUAAUGUGCCAUGUAGCUGUUGACAAUAUGCAAACUGUUGGCAUAUAUCAGUCUGUUUGUUAUCUUGUAUUUUAUAACUACAUAUAUAUUAUUAAUGCAUAAAGUAAUAAAGAGCAGUACUUACAACAAACCUUAAUUUAAUUUUCAAAUAAACUUUUUUACAUUUACUCA